rnacentral:rRNA from 1 species
UACGGGGGGGGGCAAGCGUUGUUCGGAAUUACUGGGCGUAAAGGGCUUGUAGGCGGCCAACUAAGUCAGACGUGAAAUCCCUCGGCUUAACCGGGGAACUGCGUCUGAUACUGGAUGGCUAGAGAUUGGGAGAGGGAUGCGGAAUUCCAGGUGUAGCGGUGAAAUGCGUAGAUAUCUGGAGGAACACCGGUGGCGAAGGCGGCAUCCUGGACCAACACUGACGCUGAAAAGCGAAAGCCAGGGGAGCAAACGGG